rnacentral:lncRNA from 1 species
UAAAAGCAUUACCAUAGCCUAAAAGUUUGGUGUUUAUACCCAACUUUGUUAUGAUAUCAUUUCACCUUUUUUUCCCUGAUUCUAUGUUGUAUCGAUUGGCUUGCAUCCAAAUGCGUGAUAAUAUGUCAUUUGGAGAAUAAUGAGUUGAUGGCUUGUUUUCAUGUCAGAUUACCAGGUAGGUAGUAACAAAGAUUUGGGCUAAAUUUAAGUAUUGAGAUUGGCAGCCAAUGAUGGUAUUCAUAGAUUGAUCACCAUCCAUCAAUGACAUUAUGGUGCAGCUCAGUUGUGACUACAGGAGUAGGGGGUGUCAAUUUGUGGUCUGUGAAGUCGUGUGAUAGUCGUGUUUCGCGAGUAAUAGACAAAUGCUUUCCUUCAAUGUUGUGCGUGUACUUUUAUUGUUAUUUUUGAUGAAGACUUAGGUUAUCCCUGACAUAGUGUAGAGAUAAUAAC